AGCGCCUAGGAAAGAAGUUUGCCCAAAGCUGCUGCUUCGAGGUGCAAGGAGGAAGUGGUGAGAAUCCAGGCGCGUCUGAGGGCCAUGGAUGGAAAGCCGGCGACACAGGCUUCAGCGGUGACACUGCAGGGUGCACAGGCUUCAGUGGCGACACUGUAGUGCGCACAUGGAGGCCAGGGCGUGAGCAGCUCAGCCUCAGGUGCAGCUGCGCAGAGAGCUACAUAAAAAAAUUGUGCGGCACACUGGUGAGCUGACAGGUGAAGAGGUAGACACAGCAUCACGGAGACCUACUACAGCAACAGAAAAACAAAAAAGAUGCCAACUGUGCCCUACAAGAAAGUACAGGAAAAGAAAACCUGCACGCUAUCAGUCUACACACUGUGUAAUAUAAUAAGAAGCUCCUGACAAAACAGCAAGACACUAAGAUGUCCAGUAUGUCCUACAAAAAAAGGCCAGGAACACAAAACAUGCUGUCAGGGUAAGCAAUGUGGGUAUAUGGGACUUGCUAUUGUUCUGUGUGUAGAUGCCUCAGGUAUGAUAAUUGAAGUUUUUUUUUUUUGUUUUUUUUUUUUGAGAGAGUGCUGUUGGUAUUUUCACUGUAGCUCAUAUGGGAAUUUAUUUCUGAUGUUCUUCUUUAAAUUUUGUAUACCAAGAAUCAGUUGAUGUUAAAAAUGUCAAUGUAUUUUUAUAAACACACAGUAAAUGUUAAAAACUCAAUACUUCAUCUUCAUGAUGUUCUUCCUGUUGUCAUUGUUUAAUAUAAUAAAACUCAUAAUAAAAUUAAAAAUUCAUCAAUAGAAAUAUUCUGAAGAAUAUGUGUGGGUCUGGAAGGCCCAUGUUUAUGCACCUUGCUGACAAAAUUAGUCUUUUGCGCUAAGGUUGUGUCUUGGUACCUGGUACUUUG